rnacentral:miRNA from 1 species
UACAGACCUUCGAUUUGGUUCAGGACCCUCCCUGAACCAAGGAAGGCCAGUCUCUUCCUUGGUUCAGGGAGGGUCCCCAACAGUGUCCUCAUGG